UCUAAUAUGGCAGAUAAUAUGUUAUGGAUUUAAACCCCAUUAAUAAAGGAUUUCCUUUUUUUAGAA
rnacentral:tRNA from 1 species